rnacentral:rRNA from 1 species
UCGAAGUGCGGGGCAGGGGGCGAGGUAAGAGGUGGGGGGUGAGCGUUGUCCGGAUUUAUUGGGCGGGAAGAGGGUGUAGGCGGCCAGGUAGGUCUGCUGUGAAAACUGGAGGCUUAACCUCGGGAUGUCGGCGGAAACCAUCUGGCUAGAGUGCGGAAGAGGAGAGUGGAAUUCCUGGUGUAGCGGUGAAAUGCGCAGAUAUCAGGAAGAACACCCGUGGCGAAGGCGGCUCUCUGGGACGGUACUGACGCUGAUGCGCGAAAGCCAGGGGAGCGAACGGGAUUAGAUACCCUUGUAGUC